rnacentral:tmRNA from 2 species
GGGGCUGAUUCUGGAUUCGACGGGAUUUGCGAAACCCAAGGUGCAUGCCGAGGGGCGGUUGGCCUCGUAAAAAGCCGCAAAAAAAUAGUCGCAAACGACGAAACCUACGCUUUAGCAGCUUAAUAACCUGCUUAGAGCCCUCUCUCCCUAGCCUCCGCUCUUAGGACGGGGAUCAAGAGAGGUCAAACCCAAAAGAGAUCGCGCGGAUGCCCUGCCUGGGGUUGAAGCGUUAAAACGAAUCAGGCUAGUCUGGUAGUGGCGUGUCCGUCCGCAGGAGCCAGGCGAAUGUAAAGACUGACUAAGCAUGUAGUACCGAGGAUGUAGGAAUUUCGGACGCGGGUUCAACUCCCGCCAGCUCCACCA